UACAGAGGGGGGCAAGCGUUAUUCGGAAUUAUUGGGCGUAAAGGGCGCGUAGGCGGCCUGGCAAGUGGAAGGUGAAAUCCCUCGGCUUAACCGAGGAACUGCCCUCCAAACUGCUUGGCUUGAGUCCGGGAGAGGUGAGUGGAAUUCCCAGUGUAGCGGUGAAAUGCGUAGAUAUUGGGAGGAACACCAGUGGCGAAGGCGGCUCACUGGACCGAACUGACGCUGAGGCGCGAAAGCGUGGGGAGCAAACGGG
rnacentral:rRNA from 1 species